CAAUGGGAUGCGAAUCUCGAAAGCCUGUCUCAGUUCGGAUUGGAGGCUGAAACCCGCCUCCAUGAAGUUGGAUUCGCUAGUAAUCGCGCAUCAGCCAUGGCGCGGUGAAUACGUUCCCGGGCCUUGUACACACCGCCCGUCAAGCCAUGGGAGCCGGGGGGUGCCUGAAGUUCGUGACCGCAAGGAGCGACCUAGGGCAAAACUGGUGACUGGGGCUAAGUCGUAACAAGGUAAC
rnacentral:rRNA from 1 species